UCUUAUGAAUGAGGAAAGAAAGUGGUUUAAUGAGAAAUGAAUCUACUCUUGGUGAAGAUACUGUGAA
rnacentral:pre_miRNA from 2 species